UGCCUUACACAUGCAAGUCGAGCGGCAGCGCGGGGGCAACCCUGGCGGCGAGCGGCGAACGGGUGAGUAAUGCAUCGGAACGUGUCCUCCUGUGGGGGAUAACCAGUCGAAAGACUGGCUAAUACCGCAUGAGAUCGAGAGAUGAAAGCAAGGGACCGCAAGGCCUUGCGCGAGAGGAGCGGCCGAUGCCGGAUUAGCUAGUUGGCGGGGUAACGGCCUACCAAGGCGACGAUCCGUAGCUGGUCUGAGAGGACGACCAGCCACACUGGGACUGAGACACGGCCCAGACUCCUACGGGAGGCAGCAGUGGGGAAUUUUGGACAAUGGGGGCAACCCUGAUCCAGCCAUGCCGCGUGUGUGAAGAAGGCCUUCGGGUUGUAAAGCACUUUCGGACGGAACGAAAUCGCGCGGGUUAAUAGUCCGCGUGGAUGACGGUACCGUAAGAAGAAGCACCGGCUAACUACGUGCCAGCAGCCGCGGUAAUACGUAGGGUGCGAGCGUUAAUCGGAAUUACUGGGCGUAAAGUGUGCGCAGGCGGCCGCGCAAGUCGAGUGUGAAAUCCCCGAGCUUAACUUGGGAAUUGCGCUCGAAACUACGUGGCUGGAGUGUGGCAGAGGAAGGUGGAAUUCCACGUGUAGCGGUGAAAUGCGUAGAGAUGUGGAGGAACACCGAUGGCGAAGGCAGCCUUCUGGGCCAACACUGACGCUCAUGCACGAAAGCGU
rnacentral:rRNA from 1 species